CUCGCCGCGCCCCCCGCGCCCCCUCCCCCGGCGCUCGCGCGUCCGCGCGCCCCCUCCCCCCGGAGCCCCGGGCGCGCGUCCCGGCGCGGGGCGCGCGCCUGCCUGACCGCGGCGCAGAGGGUGGGGGCCGCGGCGGGCGGGCGGGCGGCCUCCUCGCGCGACCCCCAACCCCCCGCCCGGCCCCUCGGCGACAGCCCGCCAGGAAACCAGAGAUUUUUUGCUCUGAAGGCCUUCAACUGAUGGGAUGUGGCCCACCCACAUUAUCAAGGAUAUUGGGAUGAAUCAGACAGUCCUUCCCUCACUGUGGAAACAGACAAGUAAACAAACAGUUGCCAUAUGAAUUCAAUGCCAUGGUGAAGGCAGCUUAGUGUGUUGUGGGAGCACGGGAUGGGCGUUUCUGUUGAAGAAGAUUUGCCUGAGUGAACAUAUUAGCCAGUCUUCCUCUACUUUGUGUGUGGGUUGCUGCCACAGCAUGGCUGAUGAGUGUUGUAGGUCCACGCCCAGGAUCCAAACCCAUGAACCUGGGCUGCCGAAGCAGAGCACACUGAACUGAACCGCUACACCACAGGGCCAGCCCCAGAUGCAGAUUUUAUUAAUUCCUGGUUUUUGAAAAAUUCUUAAAGGAAAACUGAGAAACAAUUUUUUUGUUUGUUUGUUUUGGCUCAUUUUCCUUUUUACUAUGUAUUUGGGAUGUGGCCAUUCCUAAGAACAUUAGCACAUGAAGUUCAUUGUUGAUGUUAUAACAUGUUCUGAAUCUUAAAAUAAGGCACCAAAAAUGCAUUCAGAGAACAGGUAGAUAAAGUAGCACUGCUGUGAUUAUAGAGAAAGUGUAGUUUCCUGUUAGGCUUUUCUCUUUCAAGAGCUUAUAAUUUUCUGUAUAACCCAAACGUUAUCCCUUGGGCACUUAUGUUUUAUUCUUGCUCUUGAUUCUGUGUUAUAACGUUUGAUUGAAAAGGGAAGAUAUGAAAUUUUUGUCUCCCACACAAAGAAUCUUCAUAUUCGUAUUUUUUUGGUAAGAUUCAAUUCCAUGUGCCUGAGCCUGCCUUAGUUUGAGGAAUAGUAUCAGUAACUUUUAUCUACAAGGAGUGUCUUGGACAUUCUGUGUGUGUGUGUAUAAAAUCAAAACCCACAAAUAUGGUAUACCUUGUUGGGAAUAUUAGAUGAUAAUUCCUAGUGACUAUAUUAUAUUUGCACAGAGUAUUAGAUGACAGCCAGUUUUGACAGUCUAAUGUAGUAGGUGAUCUGGCAUUCUCCGUAUCUUGGGUCAUAUGAGGAUAAAAUUAUCCAUCUCCUGAGCCUUUAUGAGGAAGGGAACUAGAAUUUUAGAAGUGUGAACUGAGAAAAUUGGACUCAAGUUAGCAACCUAAAAAAUGGUAAAACCAAAUUGUGUAUGAA
rnacentral:lncRNA from 1 species